rnacentral:rRNA from 1 species
CGAGAUAUAAUCUGUUUCAUUUAAAAUUUAGUUAGAAUUUUAUUUUUUAGUUAAAAAGCUAAAAUAUAUUCAAAAGACGAGAAGACCCUAUAAAUCUUGAUUAUUUAGUAAUUUUUAGUUUAUUUUGAUUUUUUUUAUUAUAAAUUUAUUAAUUAAUUUUAUUGGGGGGAUAUUAAAAUUUAAAUAACUUUUAAUAAUUUUUAUCAUUUAUUUAUGAUUAAGUGAUCCAUUAUUAGUGAUUAGAAAAUUAAGUUACUUUAGGGAUAACAGCGUAAUUUUUUUGGAGAGUUCUUAUCGAUAAAAAAGUUUGCGACCUCGAUGUUGGAUUAAGAUUCAUAUUUAAAUGUAGAAGUUUAAAUAUAAAGUCUGUUCGACUUUUUAUUCUUACAUGAUCUGAGUUCAAACCGGUGUAAGCCAGGUUGGUUUCUAUCUUUGAUUUGGUAAAAUAUUUUAGUACGAAAGGAAUUAAUAUUUAU